UUAAAUUGAAGAGUUUGAUCAUGGCUCAGAUUGAACGCUGGCGGCAGGCCUAACACAUGCAAGUCGAACGGUAACAGAAAGCAGCUUGCUGCUUUGCUGACGAGUGGCGGACGGGUGAGUAAUGUCUGGGAAACUGCCYGAUGGAGGGGGAUAACUACUGGAAACGGUAGCUAAUACCGCAUAACGUCGCAAGACCAAAGAGGGGGACCUUMGGGCCUCUUGCCAUCGGAUGUGCCCAGAUGKGA
rnacentral:rRNA from 1 species